rnacentral:rRNA from 1 species
AGUGAACGCUGGCGGUAGGCCUAACACAUGCAAGUCGAACGGCAGCACAGUAAGAGCUUGCUCUUACGGGUGGCGAGUGGCGUACGGGUGAGGAAUACAUCGGAAUCUACUUUUUCGUGGGGGUUAACGUAGGGAAACUUACGCUAAUACCGCAUACGACCUACGGGUGAAAGCAGGGGAUCUUCGCACCUUGCGCGAAUGAAUGAGCCGAUGUCGGAUUAGCUAGUUGGCGGGGUAAAGGCCCACCAAGGCGGCGAUCCGUAGCUGGUCUGAGAGGAUGAUCAGCCACACUGGAACUGAGACACGGUCCAGACUCCUACGGGAGGCAGCAGUGGGGAAUAUUGGACAAUGGGCGCAAGCCUGAUCCAGCCAUACCGCGUGGGUGAAGAAGGCCUUCGGGUUGUAAAGCCCUUUUGUUGGGAAAGAAAAGCAGCAGGUUAAUACCCCGCUGUUCUGACGGUACCCAAAGAAUAAGCACCGGCUAACUUCGUG